rnacentral:piRNA from 1 species
GAACUAUUCAUCCCACAAAGAGUCCGGUAC